rnacentral:rRNA from 1 species
GUAGGGAAUAUUGGACAAUGGGGGGAACCCUGAUCCAGCCAUGCCGCGUGGAGGAAGACUGCCCUCUGGGUUGUAAACUCCUUUUAUAUGGGAAGAACCGUCCUCAUUAAUGAGUGACCUGACGGUACCAUAGGAAUAAGCACCGGCUAACUCCGUGCCAGCAGCCGCGGUAAUACGGAGGGUGCAAGCGUUAUCCGGAUUCACUGGGUUUAAAGGGUGCGUAGGCGGAUAAAUAAGUCAGUGGUGAAAUCAACGGGCUCAACCUGUUAACUGCCAUUGAUAAUGUGUAUCUUGAAUAUGAGAGAGGUAGGCGGAAUGUUGCAUGUAGCGGUGAAAUGCUUAGAUAUGCUACGGAACACCGAUUGCGAAGGCAGCUAGCUGGGCCUUGAUUGACGCUGAGGCACGAAAGCGUGGGUAGCGAACAGGAUUAGAAACCCCAGUAGUCC